rnacentral:misc_RNA from 1 species
AAGGUUGUGAAUAACAAUGUCCUGCAAACAAUAAGUCAAAAGGACAUCAAAGUGAAAAUAUGCCUGAUCAUAGGACAUCAAAUAGAAAAUACUCCAUGAGACUUUCUUCCAUAUCAGUGGGGACCGUGAUAGGACACAGGAAAUAUAGAUAUACAAAAUAUUUAAGCAAAAUUUACACAAUACCAUAUUUUACCUAUGCUCAUUGCAGACAAUUAACCACCAGAGAUGCAUGGCAGGUGGAAAGAAUUGCAAUAUGGUAGCCAACUUAUAGUGAACUUAUUACUUACAUCGGAAAAACCCCUAGGUCCCAUUCUUCUAGCCCAAUCACAAAACACCUACUAUAAUGUGCCCGAUGUGAAUGACUGAGGAGCUCAAAAUGCAGUAAGCCAAAGCAUACUCUUUUGUCAAAACCUAAUUCUUACAAGUCUUCCUGGGUGAUAAAUCUGAUAAUAAGUAAGUAAAAAUAGUUCCUUAACUUCAAAUGUCAGAAUACAUGAACAUCGAUUGACAUAGUGGGAAAGGGGGAAAAUGAAUUAAAAAACUUUAUAAGGAUAAAAAAAAAUGACAUCUGAAAGAACAAUUAAUGUAAAAAUAGAACUUAUGGAAUUUUAUUUAAUGAAACAAGGAAUAAUCAUAAAUCAGUACAAUUUGAAGCACAUGAUUUAAAUUUCAGGGAUUCUUCCAAAAAUUAUGAUCAUAUAAAUUACCUGACAAUGCUUCCUCAGAUCUU